UACCAGCACCCCGAGUGGUCGGGACGUUUAUUGGGCUUAAAGCAUCCGUAGUCGGUUCUACAAGUCUUCCGUUAAAUCCACCUGCUUAACAGAUGGGCUGCGGAAGAUACUAUAGAGCUAGGAGGCGGGAGAGGCAAGCGGUACUCGAUGGGUAGGGGUAAAAUCCGUUGAUCCAUUGAAGACCACCAGUGGCGAAGGCGGCUUGCCAGAACGCGCUCGACGGUGAGGGAUGAAAGCUGGGGGAGCAAACCGG
rnacentral:rRNA from 1 species